UAGGGAAUCUUCCACAAUGGGCGCAGGCCUGAUGGAGCAACACCGCGUGAGUGAAGAAGGGUUUCGGCUCGUAAAGCUCUGUUGUUAAAGAAGAACACGUAUGAGAGUAACUGUUCAUACGUUGACGGUAUUUAACCAGAAAGUCACGGCUAACUACGUGCCCG
rnacentral:rRNA from 1 species